rnacentral:rRNA from 1 species
UACGAAGGGGGCUAGCGUUGCUCGGAAUGACUGGGCGUAAAGGGCGCGUAGGCGGCUCAUACAGUCAGAUGUGAAAUUCCUGGGCUUAACCUGGGGGCUGCAUUUGAUACGUGUGGGCUUGAGUGGGGAAGAGGGUCGUGGAAUUCCCGGUGUAGCGGUGAAAUGCGUAGAGAUCGGGAGGAACACCAGAGGCGAAGGCGGCUAACUGGACGAGCACUGACACUCAACUACGAAAGCGUGGGGAGCAAACAGG